rnacentral:rRNA from 1 species
UACGAAGGGGGCUAGCGUUGCUCGGAAUCACUGGGCGUAAAGGGUGCGUAGGCGGGUCUUUAAGUCAGGGGUGAAAUCCUGGAGCUCAACUCCAGAACUGCCUUUGAUACUGGGAUCUCUAGUCGGGAAGAGGUGAGUGGAACUCGAGAGUGUAGGUGAAAUUCGUAGAUAUUCGGAAGAACACCAGUGGCGAAGGCGGCUCACUGGUCCGGUACUGACGCUGAGGUGCGAAAGCGUGGGGAGCAACAGGG